GCAAACUUGGUCAUUUAGAGGAAGUAAAAGUCGUAACAAGGUUUCCGUAGGUGAACCUGCGGAAGGAUCAUUAACGAGUCUUUGAAGUGGGUUUGAUGCUGGCUUCUCUAACAGGGAGGCAUGUGCUCGCCCUACUCUCAUCCACUCACACCUGUGCACCUUGACGUUGAAGACAUUGAAACACUUAGUAGGCUUCACUUUGGGUUGAAAAGUGCCUUUGGUGUUCUUUGCGUUAACUUUCACUACAAACACGAAUGUCUAUAGAAUGUCUUAUUGGCCUACGGGCUUCUAAUUGUAAAUACAACUUUCAACAACGGAUCUCUUGGCUCUCGCAUCGAUGAAGAACGCAGC
rnacentral:misc_RNA from 1 species